CUGGCUCAGGAUUAACGCUGGCGGCGUGCCUAAUACAUGCAAGUCGGAUGGUUAGCUUGCUAACCAUGGCGAACGGGUGAGUAACACGUAGGUAACCUGUCUAAGACACGAGGAUAACCAUUGGAAACGAUGGAUAAUACUGGAUAGGACAUUUGGAGGCAUCUUUGGAUGUUUAAAGAUUUAUCGGUAAUAGAGGGGCCUGCGGCGCAUUAGCUAGUUGGCGGGGUGAAGGCCCACCAAGGCGAUGAUGCGUAGCCGGACUGAGAGGUUGAACGGCCACAAUGGGACUGAGAACGGCCCAUACUCCUACGGGAGGCAGCAGUAGGGAAUUUUCGGCAAUGGGCGGAAGCCUGACCGAGCAACGCCGCGUGAACGAAGAAGUAUUUCGGUAUGUAAAGUUCUUUUAUUUGGGACGAAAAAAUUAAAAUUGACUGUACCAAAUGAAUAAGCUCCGGCUAACUACGUGCCAGCCGCAGC
rnacentral:rRNA from 1 species